AUGCUGAUGCUGAGUCUGCUGGGAGCAACCCUCAGCUUCUUUUGUUUUGCAACCAGCAUGGCCCAGAAGGUAACUCAGGCUCAGACUUCAGUUUCUGUGAUGGAGGAGAAGACUGUGACAUUGGACUGUGUGUAUGAAACCAGGGAAAGCGCUUACUCCUUAUUCUGGUACAAGCAAACAACAAGUGGGGAAAUGGUCUUCCUUAUUCGUCAGGAGUCUUACCAAAAGGAAAACGCAACAGAAGGUCACUAUUCUCUGAACUUCCAGAAGUCAGGAAGCUCCAUCGGACUCAUCAUCUCAGCCACACAGAUUGAGGACUCAGCAGUGUAUUUCUGUGCCAUGAGAGAGGGCACAGUAGCAGGGACUUUUACAAGGGCCCCACAAAAACCUCAACCAGAGAUAGAGGUUCUGAGGAAAGACUUCACAGGCAGGAAGAGGCAGGGCUGUGGCCACACACAUACAAGACAGGCUUUGGCAAUAGACCUCAGUUCAGUUCGUGUGAAUGUCUGUCUAUCUUUAUAA